UGAUCACGUGAUACUCUUUCAGAUGUCCCGC
rnacentral:piRNA from 1 species